GACGUAGGGCGCAAGCGUUGUCCGGAUUUAUUGGGCGUAAAGCGCACGUAGGCGGACUCUUAGGUCGGUGGUGAAAUCCUGGAGCUCAACUCCAGAACUGCCUUCGAUACUGAGAGUCUCGAGUCCGGGAGAGGUGAGUGGAACUGCGAGUGUAGAGGUGAAAUUCGUAGAUAUUCGCAAGAACACCAGUGGCGAAGGCGGCUCACUGGCCCGGUACUGACGCUGAGGUGCGAAAGCGUGGGGAGCAAACAGG
rnacentral:rRNA from 1 species